AUACAGGGGUGGCGAGCGUUGUUCGGAGUUACUGGGCGUAAAGAUCAUGUAGGCGGUAGGAUAAGUUCUGUGAGAAAUCUCUCUGCUUAACAGAGAAACUGCAUGGAAUACUAUCUUGCUAGAGGGUUGGAGAGGAGAGUGGAAUUCCCGGUGUAGCGGUGAAAUGCAUAGAGAUCGGGAGGAACAUCUGUGGCGAAGGCGGCUCUCUGGACAACACCUGACGCUGAAGAGCUAAAGCGUGGGGAGCAAACAGGAUUAGAAACCCCAGUAGUCC
rnacentral:rRNA from 1 species